CUAAACUCAUACUCACACAUUUAGAUAGAGAAAGAGAGACGGAGAGAGAAUGACGUGAGAGAGAAACCGAUGAAAGGAAGAGGAAGCGGAUCACCCCAACCCGAUGAAGGUGAUGAUAGCGACGACUCCGACAAGCAGCGAUGGCGGCUAGGGUUCCAGUUUGGGGGUUUUGAAACCAGAUCGUCAAGGUGUUGAGGACGUCUGCAAUCUGGUUGUCCAGUUUAGGGGUUUUGAAACACGCAUCCGGAAUUAACAAUUCAUGACUCAUUUCGCCGUUGCCAAAGUCGCUCAAGAAUCAAAUCUUCAACUGAAGUUUUAUUGGCCCUAAAUGGUUCUCGAAUAUCGGCGACGCACAUGGCCACCGGCUGCCGGGUAAAUGAUGGAAGAUGGUGAUGCUUGGUGAAAGUUGGAGUGUUAGCAACCUUAUUCAUUCACCACAUGAACAUCAUCUUUCUCAAUCAACUGUUUGCAUUGAUUUAGCUAAUGGUGGAGAAUGGAGCCUCACCCGUGGCAAUGGCAGCAAACAAGGAUGAAAUUAUGACAAAGGUGGAUGCUAACUAACGUCCACGAUGUUAUGGCAAUGGACGUCGAAGCAACCGAGAAGCCAUCAGAAUCAAGUCCCAUAACGACAGGGCUUGAUUGUCCAGUUGGCGAAUCAUCUUCUUACAAGUGUAUACUAGCAUAAAGAACAGAAGAAAAUCAUCUAUCGUUUAAUUUAAAUGACCAAUUUGCCCCUCUGAAGUUCAUGUGGAAAGUGGUAUCGAUGCAGCUCCUAACUUUGAACAUCAAUUCAUAUCAAGCUUUCCUUCACAUCAAAUGGGGACGUAUGAAAACUCAAAUUUGCAGAUUCACCGGUCGUCGUUAAGAAACAGGUCGGAAGAAAAGCUUGCAGUUGAGUGAACCAGAACUGAAGAGACGAAAGCUAUCUGAUGAAGAAGCCUAAGUUGUGGAAUGAAUUAAGUUUUGUAUUCAUUAGUUUAUAUUUUUUGGCCCUGGCAUGAUUUGGGUGCUAAGGUUGCCUACCACCAGUGUUUAGAUUGUAGGGUUGUUUAGAUAAAACAAUGGCUAAAGUUAUAAAUAUAUGUACAUUUGAGUCCUGUGUUGUUCAAAAUGUAUUGUAUUGCAAGUAUUGAUGAUCAAUAAAACAAACAGUUUAUUGUUGUUC
rnacentral:lncRNA from 1 species